GCUGGUAUGGUGUAGUUCGGUCCAUCAUGGCGGGGUUUCAUUCCGUCGACCCGGGUUCAAAUCCCGGUACUAGCACCA
rnacentral:tRNA from 1 species